rnacentral:rRNA from 1 species
UUGCUGUGGUAUUUUGACUAUACGAAGGUAUUGAAAUAAGAUUUUAAAUGAGUGCUAAGAGAAUGAUUAAACAAUUAAAAGCUUUCUUUAAUUAAAUAAUUGAAUUUAAUUUUUUAGUGCAAAAGCAAAAAUAAAAAUUAGGGACAAGAAGACCCUAUGAAUUUUUUAUUAAAUUUUAUAUAAAGUUUUAUAAAAUUUAAUUUGAUUGGGGUGAUGGAAAAAGAAUAAAUAUCUUUUUUUUUAAGAAAAAAUUGGUUCCGUUUUUAGCGAUUAAAUGAAAAAAAUACUCUAGGGAUAACAGCGUAAUAAUUUUGGAUAGUUCAUAUAGAUAAAAUAGUUUGCGACCUCGAUGUUGGAUUAGGAU